rnacentral:rRNA from 1 species
GGACUACCGGGGUAUCUAAUCCCGUUUGCUCCCCUGGCUUUCGCACCUCAGCGUCAGAAACCAGCCAGUGCAUCGCUUUCGCCGCCGGAGUUCCUUCCGAUAUCAACGCAUUUCACCGCUCCACCGGAAAUUCCAUGCACCCCUCUGGUCCUCAAGCAAAGCAGUAUCGGCCGCAGUUCCUCGGUUAGGCCGAGGGAUUUCACAACCGACUUACUCCGCCGCCUACGUGCGCUUUAUGCCCAGUGAUUCCGAACAACGCUCGCCACCUUCGUCUUACCGCGGCGGCUGGCAC